rnacentral:rRNA from 1 species
GAGUGAACGCUGGCGGUAGGCCUAACACAUGCAAGUCGAACGGCAGCACAGUAAGAGCUUGCUCUUACGGGUGGCGAGUGGCGGACGGGUGAGGAAUACAUCGGAAUCUACUUUUUCGUGGGGGAUAACGUAGGGAAACUUACGCUAAUACCGCAUACGACCUACGGGUGAAAGCAGGGGAUCUUCGGACCUUGCGCGAUUGAAUGAGCCGAUGUCGGAUCAGCUAGUUGGCGGGGUAAAGGCCCACCAAGGCGACGAUCCGUAGCUGGUCUGAGAGGAUGAUCAGCCACACUGGAACUGAGACACGGUCCAGACUCCUACGGGAGGCAGCAGUGGGGAAUAUUGGACAAUGGGCGCAAGCCUGAUCCAGCCAUACCGCGUGGGUGAAGAAGGCCUUCGGGUUGUAAAGCCCUUUUGUUGGGAAAGAAAAGCAGCAGGUUAAUACCCCGCUGUUCUGACGGUACCCAAAGAAUAAGCACCGGCUAACUUCGUG